GAUGAACGCUGGCGGCGUGCCUAAUACAUGCAAGUCGAGCGAACAGAUAAGGAGCUUGCUCCUUUGACGUUAGCGGCGGACGGGUGAGUAACACGUGGGUAACCUACCUAUAAGACUGGAAUAACUACGGGAAACCGGGGCUAAUGCCGGAUAACAUGUUGAACCGCAUGGUUCUACAGUGAAAGGCGGCUUUGCUGUCACUUAUAGAUGGACCCGCGCCGCAUUAGCUAGUUGGUGAGGUAACGGCUCACCAAGGCAACGAUACGUUGCCGACCUGAGAGGGUGAUCGGCCACACUGGAACUGAGACACGGUCCAGACUCCUACGGGAGGCAGCAGUAGGGAAUCUUCCGCAAAGGGCGAAAGCCUGACGGAGCAACGCCGCGUGAGUGAUGAAGGUCUUCGGAUCGUAAAACUCUGUUAUUAGGGAAGAACAAAUGCGUAAGUAACUGUGCGCGUCUUGACGGUACCUAAUCAGAAAGCCACGGCUAACUACGUG
rnacentral:rRNA from 1 species